UACAGAGGUGGCAAGCGUUGCUCGGAAUCACUGGGCGUAAAGCGCACGUAGGCGGACUCUUAAGUCAGGGGUGAAAUCCUGGAGCUCAACUCCAGAACUGCCUUUGAUACUGGGAGUCUUGAGUUCGGGAGAGGUGAGUGGAACUGCGAGUGUAGAGGUGAAAUUCGUAGAUAUUCGCAAGAACACCAGUGGCGAAGGCGGCUCACUGGCCCGAUACUGACGCUGAGGUGCGAAAGCGUGGGGAGCAAACAGG
rnacentral:rRNA from 1 species